CGGUAAUUCCAGCUCCAAUAGCGUAUAUUAAAAUUGUUGCGGUUAAAACGCUCGUAGUUGGAUUUUUCGGGAGAUAUUCUAGUCCACCCAAGUGGUGCGCACUGGGACAGUCCUUCGAAUUUACCUAGAGAAUGCGCGUGCGCUUUGUUGUGUGGCGAUGGAACUAGGACCUUUACUUUGAGGAAAUGAGAUCGCUCCAAGAAAGUAGGUGCUGCGAAUAUGUUAGCAUGGGAUAGUACUACAGGACCCUGGUCGAAGUUGAAGAAUCAUCGAACAAGGUAAUGCAAAUAAGGGUGGUUGGGAGUAUUCAUAUUUAGCUGCCAGAGGUGAAGUUCUUGGAUUUUCUAAAGAUGAACUGGUGCGAAAGCAUCUGCUCAGGAUGUUUUUAUUAAUCAAGAACGAAAGUUAGGGGAUCAAAGACGAUCAGAUACCGUCGUAGUCUUAACCUUAAACUAUGCCUACCAGAGCUUGGGAGCAUCAGGAUUUUGGCGCUCUCAGUACCUUGAGAGAAAUCAAAGUUUUUGGGUUCCGGGGGGAGUAUUGUCGCAAGGCUGAAACUUAAAGGAAUUGACGGAAGGGCACCACCAGGAGUGGAGCUUGCGGCUUAAUUUGACUCAACACGGGGAAACUUACCAGGUCCAGACAUGGAGAGGAUUGACAGACUGAUAGCUCUUUCUUGAUUCUAUGGGUAGUGGUGCAUGGCCGUUCUUAGUUGGUGGAGUGAUUUGUCUGGUUAAUUCCGUUAACGAACGAGACCUUAACCUACUAAAUAGGGAGCGAAAUGUAUGAAUUUCGGACUCGCUUCUUAGGGGGACUUCGUGUGCCUAAUGCGAGGAAGUGUGAGGCAAUAACAGGUCUGUGAUGCCCUUAGAUGAUCUGGGCUGCACGCGUGCUACAAUGAUGUCUUCAGCGAGAUUUUGAACCUCUUUGAAAAGAGUGGGAGAUCAUCUAAAAUGCAUCGUGGUGGGAAUUGAUUAUUGCAAUUAUUAAUCCUGAACGAGGAAUUCCUAGUAAGUGCAGAUCACCAGUUUGUGCUGAUUACGUCCCUGCCCCUUGUACACGCCGCCC
rnacentral:rRNA from 1 species